AGGAAACACUGUUCAGACAGAGACUUCUGUUCUGAAUACGGUAAUUAGAAACUUUUAGUCCAGCUCAUGGAGAAGUAGGUUUUAGAUUAUAAAGUAAUUGGGGGCAGGGGGAGGAACACAUUUCAUAUGAGUUUUUUCACUGGCUUAUUAAGUUUAGAAUUUAACUAAAGGCUAACAAAUCAUUUUAAGUAAUAUUUAUCUUUUUUUCCCUUAGCUGUUUAAUGUAGGUAUGCAGGUUAUUUUCUGCAGUUCAGUUAGGAUAUAGUGCAAAUGGGUCAGAAGCUUGGGUCAUAAGGCUAUGGCUUACCUACUGGUAGCUUCAGUGAUUACUGCAGAAGAAGGAGACUUGCUGGUGUGGAUUGAUUUGCCCUCCAGUGAGACUCCUUGGUUUCUGCUUCCUAACACGUCGUCUUCCAGAGGAGUGUUGACACAGGACUCUGGUUUGCCAUUCAUCCAAUGCAGAUCCCAACAUUAUUCUGUAGACUUAUGAUUUGAGUUCAAAAGUGUGGCUUGUUGCAUUGCUAGGGUCUGUAGUACACUCUUCUCUCCAUGCUUACCCAAAUAACUCAGGUCAAAACUUAACUUCCUUCUGCUUGGAUCUUAGGAACCUGAUACUCAUCAGAAAGACCACAGAGAAGACUGGAAGGAGGUCAUUCCUCUCAUCUCCUCAGCCUGCUGGUGCAGAUUUCCAACGUGCCCACAUUAUGGGAGUUUCUGUUUGUAUCCCACAGUAUGUUUGGCCUGAAGACCAUUGUGGAAAUAUGAGAUGACUUUUUAGACCUUUCUUCUAGCCUGAAGAAAGACGUUCUACUUAGGAUUAUCUUGCAAUCCAAUAAAUAAUAGCAGCUGGUCAGAAACCUGGUCUGGGAACACUGUUGGGAACACUGUUGUGUUUGUUUAAUUAUUUGUAAUAAUUUUAUUUUUGCAGGGAUAUGCUAAGUCUUUUCAAGUGCAAAAGGGAAAGAUGAAAAAAAGAAAAAAAAAGUUUUGAUUUGAAAGGCCAAGUACAGAUCUUUGUGCUGUCUUUCAUAUACUCUAGGACCUGCCCUUCUCUUUUUAUGCACGAUCACAUACGCUCCAAACAUCUAAGAAGCUUCUGUUGGUGUUGGGGGUUAAAAUUCCUAGGAUUAGAAGCAGAGGUUUUGGAGUCAAGGGCCCCCACCUCUGGAAUUAGUUUUCCUUGGUUUCCUGCCAGUGUCCAUCCAGUAAGCUUCAGAACACAUGGGGAAAUGUUUAUAUUUGGGUUAGCUUCUCUCUAUUUUUAGAUGGUUUGGUUUUGCUUUGAAUUUUACUCUACAGAUGUGAAGAUGGUAGAUUGGCUAUUGUUAUUUUCUAAGAGAAUGAUUUAGCACUACCCAUUACGAGAAGGCUCCCGUGUCCUUUAUCAGUAAUCUUGUAAGAACAUGCUGCAGCCUGUGAAUGAAUAUUUGCAUUCUUACUUCCACAUCAUCAUUUUCCAACCUGUGCUACUGGGAUUACGUUGAGCCG
ensembl:lncRNA